rnacentral:misc_RNA from 1 species
GAUGAAGAACGUAGUGAAAUGCGAUAAGUAAUGCGAAUUGCAGAAUUUCCGUGAGUCAUCGAAUCUUUGAACGCACAUUGCGCCCUUUGGUAUUCCGAAGGGCAUGCCUGUUCGAGCGUCAUUAUCAACCCUCAAGCCCGGCUUGCCGUUGGGUCCCGUAGGGGUGCGAAUCUCAACGGACCUCAAAGAUAGUGGCAGAGCCCGUACGGACCCUGGAUGCAGCGAGCUUUCUGGCACGCAUCACAGCAAUCCGCCGGCUCGGUCUUAACCGUCAAUUUUUUUUCACUGGUUGACCUCGGAUCAGGUAGGGAUACCCGCUGAACUUAAGCAUAUCAAUAAGCGGAGGA